rnacentral:rRNA from 1 species
GUACACUCCUACGGGAGGCAGCAGUGAGGAAUAUUGGACAAUGGGUGGAAGCCUGAUCCAGCCAUCCCGCGUGCAGGAAGACGGCCCUAUGGGUUGUAAACUGCUUUUAUCUGGGGAUAAACCUACUUACGUGUAAGUAGCUGAAGGUACCAGAAGAAUAAGCACCGGCUAACUCCGUGCCAGCAGCCGCGGUAAUACGGAGGGUGCAAGCGUUAUCCGGAUUUAUUGGGUUUAAAGGGUCCGUAGGCGGACUGAUAAGUCAGUGGUGAAAUCCGACAGCUUAACUGUCGAACUGCCAUUGAUACUGUUAGUCUUGAGUAAGGUUGAAGUGGCUGGAAUAAGUAGUGUAGCGGUGAAAUGCAUAGAUAUUACUUAGAACACCAAUUGCGAAGGCAGGUCACUAAGUCUUAACUGACGCUGAUGGACGAAAGCGUGGGGAGCGAACAGGAUUAGAAACCCGUGUAGUCCCAUG